rnacentral:lncRNA from 13 species
UGUGCACGUUCAGUCCUCACUGUUCCCUCACACUCCACAUAUUCAGUCUAUGUGUGCACGCUCAGUCCUCACUGUUCCCUCACACUCUACAGAAUCAGCCUCUGUGUGCACGUGCAGUCCUCACUGUUCCCUCAAACUCUACAGAAUCAGAGACUGUGCACGUUCAGUCCACACUGUUCCCUCACACUCCACAUAUUCAGCCUCUGUGUGCAGGCUCAGUCCUCACUGUUCCCUCACACUCUACAGAAUAAGCCUCUGUGUGCACGAUCAGUCCUCAGUGUCAUCUCACACUCUACAGAAUCAGCCUCUGUGUGCACACUCAGUCCUCACUGUUCCCUCACACCCAACAGAAUCAGCCACCGUGUGCACGUUCAGUCCUCACUGUUCACUCACACUCUACAGAAUCAGCCUGUGUGUGCACGUUAAGUCCUGACUGUUCCCUGACACUCUACAAAAAAAGCCUCUGGGUGCAGGUUCAGUCCUCACUGUUCCUCUAAACUCCACAGAUUCAGCCUCUGUGUGCUAGUUCAGUCCUCACUGUUCCCUCACACUCUACAGAAUCAGCCUCUGUGUGCAUGUUCAAUCCUCAGUGUUCCCUCACACUCUACAAAAUAAGCCUCUGUGUGCAGGUUCAGUCCUCACUGUUCCCUCACACUCUACAGAUUCAGGCUCUGUGUGCACGUUCAGUCCUCAGUGUUCCCUCAGACUCUAUAGAAUCAGCCUCUGUGUGCAGAUUCAGUCCUCACUGUUCCCUCAAACUCUACAGAAUAAUCCUCUGUGUGCACGAUCAGUACUCAGUGUCAUCUCACACUCUAUAGAAUUAGCCUCUGUGUGCACGUUCAGACCUCACUGUUCGCUCAAACUCUACAGAAUCAGAGACUGUGCACGUUCAGUCCUCACUGUUCCCUCAAACUCUACAGAAUCAGAGACUGUGCACGUUCAGUCCUCACUGUUCACUCAGACUCUACAGAAUAAGCCUCUGCGUGCACGUUCAGUCCUCUGUUCCCUCACACACAAGAGAAUGAGACUCUGUGUGCAGGUUCAGUCCUCACUGUUCCCUCACCCUCUAAAAAAUAAGCCUCUGUGUGCAUGUGUAGUCCUCACUGUUCCCUCACACUCUACAGAAUCAGCCUGUGUGUGCAUGUUAAGUCCUGACUGUUCCCUGACACUCUACAAAAUAAGCCUCUGUGUACAGGUUCAGUCCUCACUGUUCCCUCACACUCCACAGAUUCAGCCUCUGUGUGCACGUUCAGUCCUCACUGUUCCCUCACAUUCUACAGAAUCAGCCUCUGUGUGCACAUUCAGUCCUCACUGUUCCCUCACACUCUACAGAAUCAGCUUCUGUGUGCACGCUCAGUCCUCACUGUUCCCUCAGACUCUAAAGAAUCAGUCUCUGUGUGCACGUUCAGUCCUCACUGUUCCCUCACACUCUACAGAAUAAGUCUCUGUGUGAUCGUUCAGUCCUCACUGUUCCCUCAGACUCUACAGAAUCAGAAACUGUGCACGUUGAGUCCUCACUGUUCCCUCAAACUCUACAGAAUUAGACUCUGUGUGCUAGUUCAUUCCUCACUGUUCCCUCAAACUCUACAGAAUCAGAGAUUGUACACGUUCAGUCCUCACUGUUCCCUCACACUCUACAUAUUUAGCCUAUGUGUGCACGCUCAGUCCUCACUGUUCCCUCACACUCUACAGAAUCAGCCUCUGUG